ensembl:miRNA
GUGCCCACAGUGAACAUUCAACGCUGUCGGUGAGUUUGAGCUCUGACCAAAACCAUCGACCGUUGACUGUACCCUG